GGGGUCCCAGUGUCACCCUAUGGGGUCCCUAUGGGGUCCCUAUGGGGUCCCGGUGUCACCCUAUGGCUGUCCCUAUGGGGUCGUAUGGGGUCCCCGUGUCACCCUAUGGGUGUCCCCCUAAGGGGUUCCUAUGGAGUCCUUAUGGGGUCCCUAUGGGGUCCCGGUGUCACCCUAUGGGUGUUCCCCUCUAUGGGGUCCCUAUGGGGUCGUAUGGGGUCCCGGUGUCACCCUAUGGCUGUCCCUAUGGGGUCGUAUGGGGUCCCCGUGUCACCCUAUGGGUGGCCCCCUAAGGGGUUCCUAUGGAGUCCUUAUGGGGUCCCUAUGGGGUUCCUAUGGGGUCCCGGUGUCACCCUAUGGGGUCCCUAUGGGGUCCUGGUGUCCCCCUAUGGGUGUCCCCCUAAGGGGUCCCUAUGGGGUCUCUAUGGGGUCCCAGCGUGACCCUAUGGGUGUCACCCUAUGGGUGUCCCUAUGGGGACCCUAUGGAGUUCCUAUGGGGUCCUGGCGUUACCCUAUGGGGUCCCUAUGGGGUCCCAGUGUCACCCUAUGGGGUCCCUAUGGGGUCCCGGUGUCACCAUAGGGUGGCUCCCUAAGGGAUCCCUAUGGGGUCCUUAUGGGGUCCCUAGGGGGUCCCGGUGUCACUCUAUGGGUGUCUCUAUGGGGUCCCUAUGGGGUCCCAGUGUCCCCCUAUGGGGUCUUUAUGGGGUCCCGGUGUCACCCUAUGGAAACCCCAUAGGGACCCCAUAGAGAC
ensembl:lncRNA